UAGUCCACGCCGUAAACGAUGUCAACUAGCCGUUGGGAGCAAUUAAGCUCUUAGUGGCGCAGCUAACGCGAUAAGUUGACCGCCUGGGGAGUACGCCGGCAACGGUAAAACUCAAAUGAAUUGACGGGGGCCCGCACAAGCGGUGGAGCAUGUGGUUUAAUUCGAUGCAACGCGAAAAACCUUACCUACCCUUGACAUCCUCAGAACUUGUUAGAGAUAACUUGGUGCCUUCGGGAACUGAGUGACAGGUGCUGCAUGGCUGUCGUCAGCUCGUGUCGUGAGAUGUUGGGUUAAGUCCCGCAACGAGCGCAACCCUUAUUCUUAGUUGCCAGCAUGUAAUGAUGGGGACUCUAGGAAGACUGCCGGCGUAAGCCGUGAGGAAGGUGGGGACGACGUCAAAUCAUCAUGGGCCUUUAUGCCUAGGGGCUACACACGUGCUACAAUGGGUGCAUACAGCGGGGUAGCGAAAUCGCGAGGGUGGGAGCUAAUCUU
rnacentral:rRNA from 1 species